rnacentral:misc_RNA from 1 species
GAUGAAGAACGUAGCGAAAUGCGAUAAGUAGUGUGAAUUGCAGAAUUCAGUGAAUCAUCGAAUCUUUGAACGCACAUUGCGCCCUAUAGUAUUCUGUAGGGCAUGCAUGUUCGAGCGUCAUUUGUACCUUCAAGCUUUGCUUGGUGUUGGGUGUUUGUCCUCUCCCUGGUGUUUGGACUCGCCUUAAAACAAUUGGCAGCCAGUGUUUUGGUAUUGAAGCGCAGCACAAUUUGCGAUUCUGGCCUUAAAAUACUAGCGUCCAUAAGUACAUCCUCACUUUUGACCUCGGAUCAUGUAGGGAUACCCGCUGAACUUAAGCAUAUCAAUAAGCGGAGGA